rnacentral:rRNA from 1 species
GAUGAACGCUGGCGGCGUGCCUAAUACAUGCAAGUCGAGCGAACAGACGAGGAGCUUGCUCCUCUGACGUUAGCGGCGGACGGGUGAGUAACACGUGGAUAACCUACCUAUAAGACUGGGAGAACUUCGGGAAACCGGAGCUAAUACCGGAUCAUAUAUUGAACCGCAUGGUUCAAUAGUGAAAGACGGUUUUGCUGUCACUUAUAGAUAGAUCCGCGCCGCAUUAGCUAGUUGGUAAGGUAACGGCUUACCAAGGCAACGAUGCGUAGCCGACCUGAGAGGGUGAUCGGCCACACUGGAACUGAGACACGGUCCAGACUCCUACGGGAGGCAGCAGUAGGGAAUCUUCCGCAAUGGGCGAAAGCCUGACGGAGCAACGCCGCGUGAGUGAUGAAGGUCUUCGGAUCGUAAAACUCUGUUAUUAGGGAAGAACAAAUGUGUAAGUAACUAUGCACGUCUUGACGGUACCUAAUCAGAAAGCCACGGCUAACUACGUG